rnacentral:lncRNA from 1 species
CAGUGCAUUCUCAUGACAAAAGAUCUAUUCACACUAGGCACAGGAAAAGAAGACAGUCAUCACUUUCAACCUGUAAAAGCUUUGAAGUUGCAGAACAUGUGCAUAGAAACCACAGAUGAAUGGACUGAAAUGAAUAAUGAUGGUUUGGAUGAGCAGCAUGAUCCUAAGCAUUUAGAGUGCACUUUACAAUCCCUGCAAUGCAAACUAUACUGUGCAUGAAGAGAAAUUAACUUAUCUCCAAUGAAAAUUUAACUGACUCUUAAUUGAAAUACUUUAUAGACUAUAAGAGAAAGGAAUUUGAG